rnacentral:rRNA from 1 species
AUUGAACGCUGGCGGCAGGCCUAACACAUGCAAGUCGAGCGGAGCGGCGGACGGGUGAGUAAUGCCUAGGAAUCUGCCUGGUAGUGGGGGAUAACGUCCGGAAACGGGCGCUAAUACCGCAUACUAUCAGAUGAGCCUAGGUCGGAUUAGCUAGUUGGUGGGGUAAAGGCCUACCAAGGCGACGAUCCGUAACUGGUCUGAGAGGAUGAGCAGUGAGACUGGAAUGUAUACACGGUCCAGAUCCUGACGGGAGGGAGCAGUUGGGAAUAUUGGACAAUUGGCGAAAGCCUGAUCCAGACAUGCCGCGUGUUUGAAGAAGGUCUUCGGAUUUUAAAGCACUUUAAGUUGGGAGGCGUUACCAACAGAAUAAGCACCGGCUAACUUCGUGCCAGCCGCCGCGGUAAUAC